rnacentral:rRNA from 1 species
CUUGACCUCAAAUCGGGUGAGACUACCCGCUGAACUUAAGCAUAU